AACGUAGGACGCAAGCGUUAUCCGGAAUUACUGGGCGUAAAGCGCGCGCAGGCGGGCAAACAAGUCAUGCGUGAAAGCUCCCGGCUAAACUGGGAGAGGACGGAUGAAACUGUUAGUCUUGAGAGCGAGAGAGGCGUGUGGAAUUCCGCGUGUAGUGGUGAAAUGCGUAGAGAUGCGGAGGAACACCAGAGGCGAAGGCGGCACGCUGGCUCGCAACUGACGCUGAGGCGCGAAAGCAUGGGUAGCGAACAGG
rnacentral:misc_RNA from 1 species